GACGAACGCUGACGGCGUGCUUAACACAUGCAAGUCGAACGGGAUCCAUUAGCGCUUUUGUGUUUUUGGUGAGAGUGGCGAACGGGUGAGUAACACGUGAGUAACCUGCCCUUUUCUUUGGGAUAAGCCUGGGAAACUGGGUCUAAUACUGAAUGUUCCGGCUUCCUCGCAUGGGGUUGUUGGGAAAGGUUUUUUCUGGAUUGGGAUGGGCUCGCGGCUUAUCAGCUUGUUGGUGGGGUGAUGGCUUACCAAGGCUUUGACGGGUAGCCGGCCUGAGAGGGUGGUCGGUCACACUGGGACUGAGAUACGGCCCAG
rnacentral:rRNA from 1 species